rnacentral:tRNA from 1 species
GGAGAGGUUCCCGAGCGGCCAAAGGGGUCGGACUGUAAAUCCGAUGGCUCAGCCUACGAAGGUUCGAAUCCUUCCCUCUCCA